AUCCAUCUGUGUGGCAGCAUUAAGGCAGGGAGAGCAGAUGAAUGCAGCUGGAUGAGGCUCCACUGAUGUCAGACACAUCCCUGCACAUGGAACUGAACGAGGAAUCGUGACCUCAGCAGUUAAAGCUCAGCAUUAUCAGAGCAAGGGAUUCCUGCCAGGGCUCCUCCCGGCUGCUGGAGAUUGCUGUGAUGCUGGCAGGGAGAGCAGGAAAGCCAUCUUGUCUUCACACUGUCAGCAUUUCCACUGCUGACUCCGGUGGCGUGGGAAGGAGACAGCAGCUGGCUGAGGCCAAGGCCAAACUUUUAGCUAGGCCAAGUCUGCCAGGAGAAACAGCUCCAGUCUGCGGAGCCCUGGAGAGUGCCUUGGAGCCGCGCUGUGUGUCUGCAACCAGG